rnacentral:rRNA from 1 species
UACGGAGGGUGCGAGCGUUGUCCGGAAUCACUGGGCGUAAAGGGCGCGUAGGCGGCCUGAUAAGUAGGGGGUGAAAUCCUGCGGCUUAACCGCAGGGCUGCCUUCUAAACUGUCAGGCUUGAGCACGGAAGAGGCGAGUGGAAUUCCUGGUGUAGCGGUGGAAUGCGCAGAUAUCAGGAGGAACACCAAUAGCGAAGGCAGCUCGCUGGGACGUUACUGACACUGAGGCGCGAAAGCGUGGGGAGCGAACAGG